AUUGAACGCUGGCGGCAGGCCUAACACAUGCAAGUAGAACGAGUGGCGGACGGGUGCGUAAUGUCUGGGAAACUGCCUGAUGGAGGGGGAUAACUACUGGAAACGGUAGCUAAUACCGCAUACCAUCAGAUGGGCCCAAAGGGGAUUAGCUGGUUGGUGGGGUAACGGCUCACCAAGGCGACGAUCCCUAGCUGGUCUGAGAGGAUGACCAGCAACACGGGCACUGAGCCACGGCCCAGACUCCUACGGGAGGCAGCAGUGGGGAAUAUUGCACAAUGGGCGCAAGCCUGAUGCAGCCAGGCCGCGUGUAUGAAGAAGGCCUUCGGGUUGUAAAGUACUUUCAGCGGGGAGGCGUUACCCGCAGAAGAAGCACCGGCUAACUCCGUGCCAGCAGCCGCGGUAAUAC
rnacentral:rRNA from 1 species